rnacentral:lncRNA from 1 species
CUUCAGAUAUGAUGAUGAUGUUCAGUUGUUUCAGUAGGGCCCAACUCUUUUAUGAUCUCAUUUGGAGUUGUUUUGGCAAAGACACUGGAGUAGUUUGCCAUUUUCUUCUCCUGCUCAUUUUACAGAUAAGGAAACUAUGACAAACAGGGUUAAGUGUCUUAUCCCAGGUCCCUAGUAAGUGAGGCCAGAUUUGAUCUCAGAAAGAUGAAUCUUCCUGGCUCAAUACUCUAGGCACCUCUGUGCCACCUAGUAACUAAAAAUUUGUCAAUAUAUUUUUUAAUCUAAUGAUAAUAUAUACGUGCUGCCUACUGCUUUUUAAAUGGAUAGUUCUCUUAUUUUUCUCCCUUCCUUUAAGGGUUUGCUACUUUCCAAACUCUCACCUGUGGCUCCAAGAAGCUAUAGCACAUGCAGCAGCUACACCCUGGUAAAACUAUUUCAGCAAAUGGGUUAAACCAGGUUGAGGGUAACCAACUGACCCCAAGCCUAUUUGUGAAAUAGGGAGAUGUCUACCACAAGCAUGUGAAGACUUCACCUGGUGCAUUGGGCAGAUGAGAAUAAUUUGUGCCAGUGGCUAUGAAGACAGCUGGACAAGUGCUGUGAAGCCCUUAGAACAGGGCAGGCAAAGAUGUCCAGGUUAUUCACUGCAUUACUUAUCAUCGUGAAUUUCGUCUUGACACUGGACUGCAAGAAGUAUGGAGUAAAAUUGAUGACUUUGUGCAACUCUGCUUUAUUUAAAUCCUAUUCAAGCACAAGUCAAGAUACCACCAUUGAUGUCACUGGUACUCUUUGAAAACAAAUGAACUAUACUUUACAGAAAAACAUACAGGGAAGAUACAAUAACAAACAAAUGGAGGAAAAUUAUAUUCUACAGAGAUUUGAUUAAGUUGGUAAUGGAUAGCUACAAUGAACUAAGACUUAACUCUUUUACAAUUCCUGCUUCUGCCAGGUCUUGUCCUCAGAGUCAGCCACUCCUGAUAUAGGCUGGAUAUGGGAUGAGUCCUAGAGUUCUAGAUGAUAGAUUAGGUUGUAAAAGUUUCAGAUGUCUUGGGUUUUUUAGAAGCCACAUUUUCAAUCCUUAUUCUUGGGCAGACUCAGAAAUGUUCUUUCUCUAUUAUUUCUGAAAAAAUGAAUCUUAAUUAAUUUCCCUAGUUGUGAUAUUAGAAGAAUGUCUUAUCUUUGUUGUACUGAAAUUCUACUCAAGAAUGAUUUUUUUUCUUCUUCAUUUAGAAAAAUAUGUAAGUUUGAAAAAUUC